GACAGAGGGGGCAAGCGUUGCUCGGAAUUACUGGGCGUAAAGGGCGCGUAGGCGGGAUGGCAAGUCGGUCGUGAAAUCCCUCGGCUCAACUGAGGAUCGUCGAUCGAUACUGCCGUGCUUGAGGAUUGCAGAGGAGACUGGAAUUCCCGGUGUAGCGGUGAAAUGUGUAGAGAUCGGGAGGAACACCGGUGGCGAAGGCGGGUCUCUGGGCAAUUCCUGACGCUGAGGCGCGAAAGCGUGGGGAGCAAACGGG
rnacentral:rRNA from 1 species